UUCCUAUUAUUGCAAAGAUGCUGAGCAAAUUUGCUGGACCAAAGUGAGUUUUCUGGACCCAACGAAGAUGCAUAUCACCAAAGCAGGUGCACCAAGCGGCGCCCAAAUCUUUGUCUAUCCAAGUAUAUAUUCAAACAUAUCAAUACAUAUGCUGAUUGAUUUGAGUUAAAUGGGAUUUGUGCGAUGUAAACAGUUUUCGGAGGGUUUAGAUAUGUUCCUUUUUUGUGUUGAAUCAUUUUUGUUAGGAUUCACUGUUCCCUAGUGAUACAAGAAUAAUCACGGAUAUGAACUUCAGAGAGUGCGUGUUGGACCCGAGACUUGGUGGAUGCAAAUGAAAUGUAAAGAAGCACCUAAAUGGACACCAAAACCGUCCAUACAUAGCACUCUAAGGGCGCCUAAUUUGAAGCCAUUCUUGUAAUAAGUCUAUAAAUAGACUAGUUUAGUUCUUUAGUUCUUUAGUUGAUGAUUAUUGUAAGUUUCAACUUUUGAAACACCAAGUCCUCUUUCCUUGAGGCACAAAACUUGUAACUAGGAUAGCAUUCAGGGUGGAAUUUCUUGUGAUUGCUUGUUUGUUAGAAACGUUGGUGCUUGAGUGGUGGACUCCGCUCUUGUAUCGUCGUAAGAACUUG
rnacentral:lncRNA from 1 species